rnacentral:rRNA from 1 species
ACGGGAUGCCUUAAGGUAACNAGCGAGUGAAGCGGCAAAAGCUCAAAUUUGAAAUCUGGUACCUUCGGUGCCCGAGUUGUAAUUUGGAGAGGGCAACUUUGGGGCCGUUCCUUGUCUAUGUUCCUUGGAACAGGACGUCAUAGAGGGUGAGAAUCCCGUGUGGCGAGGAGUGCGGUUCUUUGUAAAGUGCCUUCGAAGAGUCGAGUUGUUUGGGAAUGCAGCUCUAAGUGGGUGGUAAAUUCCAUCUAAAGCUAAAUAUUGGCGAGAGACCGAUAGCGAACAAGUACAGUGAUGGAAAGAUGAAAAGAACUUUGAAAAGAGAGUGAAAAAGUACGUGAAAUUGUUGAAAGGGAAGGGCAUUUGAUCAGACAUGGUGUUUUGUGCCCUCUGCUCCUUGUGGGUAGGGGAAUCUCGCAUUUCACUGGGCCAGCAUCAGUUUUGGUGGCAGGAUAAAUCCAUAGGAAUGUAGCUUGCCUCGGUAAGUAUUAUAGCCUGUGGGAAUACUGCCAGCUGGGACUGAGGACUGCGACGUAAGUCAAGGAUGCUGGCAUAAUGGUUAUAUGCCGCCCGUCUUGAACCACGGACCAA